rnacentral:tRNA from 1 species
GCUCCCGUAGCUCAAUUGGAUAGAGCGUCGGCCUCCGAAGCCGAAGGUUACAGGUUCAAAUCCUGUCGGGUGCA